AUACAGAGGGUGCGAGCGUUAAUCGGAAUUACUGGGCGUAAAGCGCGCGUAGGCGGCUACUUAAGUCAGAUGUGAAAUCCCCGGGCUCAACCUGGGAACUGCAUCUGAUACUGGGUAGCUAUAGUUUUGGAGAGGGAAGUAGAAUUUCAGGUGUAGCGGUGAAAUGCAUAGAGAUCUGAAGGAAUACCAGUGGCGAAGGCGACUUCCUGGCCAAAAACUGACGCUGAGGUGCGAAAGCGUGGGUAGCAAACGGGAUUAGAUACCCCAGUAGUCC
rnacentral:rRNA from 1 species